rnacentral:lncRNA from 1 species
AAUCCACUCUUCCUGGGCCUUAAUUUCCUCAUCUGAAAAAUGGAGAUAAUUAGAGGAGCCUACCUCAUAUAGAAGUUGAUAGGAUUAAUACUUCUCUUGUGUACAAAGGCCCAUUGCCCUUGGAUGAAGAUCAAUUGCAUUAAGAAGCUAUUGAAUGAUGGAGGCAAACCGAGGCUGCCCCUUGGUGAGAGGCUCCCAGUGCCUCUAGCAACCUUGUUCCUCUCCUUCUCAGUCCUGGGUUGGAUCCUGGGCUCUCUGUACCAGGAAGACUUUGGUACUCCCCAUUCACGGACUUCUCCAGAAUAUCCAACUUCUGCCACUGUAUCUGGGGAAUCUGGCUUCCUGAGGUUCCCUGUUAAGUGGCGUUGGCAAGACUCAGCAGAAACACAGAAAAGUUCAUGAGAAUCAAAGACGGUUGUGGUUUUUCAAAAAGAAGACAGGAAAGCCCAUGGACUAGAGCCGGUGCAGACAGGUGAGAAGGGAAGAGCAGGACUCAGCUCAGGACUGCGGAGCUCAGCCCCAUCCUGGUGACGCAGGUGGAGGCCCAGUGGCACAGAUGUGGCCUCUGACUUGCCCAGGGCUGGGAGCCCAGGGAGGGCCUGAACAACAUCAAACAACCCAACAGAUCCAAUAACUCCAACGUCUGCAGUUUUGGGGAUCUGAUCUGCAGAGUGUUAUUUCUGUAGCUCAACUUCACUGGCAAUCAGGGAAAUGCAAAUCAAGAACACAGCGAUAUUAUUUACACCAUUCAGCUGGCAAAAAUUAAAAAGUCUGAUGUUACCAAAUACUUGAGAGGAGGGGAUCAACAGCAUCUCUUACACGUCACUGGCGG